CCGCGGCGGAGCGCAUGCGUGGCGGAGCCGUAACGAUUUCCCCCGGCAAGCUACUUGGCUCCUUCGGUUCCCCGUGCUAAACCUGUUAACUACAUUAGCGCAAAAUUAAUGUUACCUGAAGCAUAAAUUGAGCUGCUUGUAGUAUUCCCGUGGAGAAUAAGUGCGCUAAGGCUAUGGCUAGAACUAAAAGCAGAGCUUCUGCGUUUGGGCUAAACCUGGACUUUCUGAAUACAGAAGUUGCUGGUCUAGAGGUUGAAUCGGAGCUGCACCUGCUGGUCUGUGCCACAGCCACAGCCACACUGGAUCUGAGCCGCACCUGUGUUCUACACUGCAGCUUGCUGCAACACUGGAUCCUUAACCCACUGAGCAAGGCCAGUUUGAUGUGGGAUCAAACCCACAUCCUCGUGGAUACUAGUUCUUAACCCCAAUUAUAAUUCCUCCAAUUAUAAUUUUUAAUAAACAACUUAUUUAACUACCUGUAAGCUUGUAAGCCUCCCCAAUUUUGUAGUCCAGCAGAACACGAUUCAAGUGCUUCUCAAACCUGUGUCUCCCUCAGUAAAGAACUUAUAUAAAGCUAAACUCAUGAAGUUCCCACUGUGGCCCAACAGGAUCACAGCAUCUCUGCAGUGUUGGGAUGCAAGUUUGAUCCCUGGCCUGGCACAGUGGGUUAAGGACCUGGUGUUAGGCUGCAGUUGGCCCAGGAACUCCAUGGCUUUCCAUAUUACUUAGUGAAAAAUGCCCUACACUCCAUUACUUCUGUGAUCUCACUUGUUUUUUGUUGUUGUUGUUGUACCCGAGGCAUGUAGAAGUUCCUGGGUCAGGGAUUGAACUCACAGCACAGCAGUGACAAUACCGGAUCCUUAACCACUAGGCCACGAGGGAACUCCUGUAAUCUCAUCUACUGCUCUUUCCUUUACUCAUUCAGCUCCACAGCUACAGAAUCCUGACCCCUUGUUGUUCCUUGAACAUGCCAAGUAUAAUUUCACGUCAAGGCCUUUGCACUUGUUGCUUUCUGCCUGAAUUACUUAUCAUUCAAAUAGCUGCAUGGUUGGUUCCCUCACUCCUUUGGAUUUUUAUUCAAAAUCUUAGAGAAGCCUUUCCCAACCUCUCUACUUAAUUUUGAAGGCUGCUUGUCAUAGUUAAUCAGACCAAUUUUUUCUCUUUUUUUCUUUUUCCAUAAUACUUAUCACAGUAUUAGUCCUAGAUAAUUUACUUAUUAUAUUUAUUGCUUAUCAUCUGACUCCCUCUACUAGAAUGUCAGCUCCAUAAAGGCAGGAAUUACUGUUCACUGAUAGAUCUUAAAUGUCUGCAGUAGCACCUAGCACAGUUAAAUAUUUGUUGAAUUAAAGAACCACAUCUUUGGAGUUCCCGUGGUGGCUCAGUGGUAAUGAACCCAACUACUGAGGAUGCAGUUUCAACCCCUGGCCUCACUCAGUGGGUUAAGAAUCUGGCACUGCCAUGAGCUGUGUAGGUCACAGACACAGCUUAGAUCUGGCAUUGCUGUGGCUGUAGCAUAGGCUGGCAGCUACAGCUCUGAUUCAACCCCUUGCUGCAUCUGCUGCUGCUGGCCUACACCACAGCCACAGCAACACCAGAUCUGAGCUGCAUCUGCCAACUGCAGGUUUGAUCCCUGGCCUCACUCAGUGG
rnacentral:lncRNA from 1 species